rnacentral:lncRNA from 1 species
AACAGGAGAGGGAGCAAGCGCGAGAGGAUAUUAGAAGAGAGGCUUGUCUCCAAGAUAUGGAAGGAAGUGAGAAAUGACAGGGCUGCAAGCUUUGUAUGUAGGAGCCCGGCAGGGCGGGGGAGCGGCGAGGGAGCCAAGUGGAUUCUCAGAAAAGGGGGGAAGCCAUCGAAGAGCUAAAGGUGAUUAGAGGGGGAUAUUGAUUUCUCAUUCUGCCAGAGAUUUAAGCAGGCAUGCGAGGAAUCUGCACCAUGGUUGGCAAAAAGAGACCCGUUGCCUCCUGUAACCAGACACUCAGGCUUUCCAGGAGCCCAGGGAGCAAGCCGAGAAGAAAGGGGGCAGUGUGGUCUAGGAAAAUUCAACUUGUCGCUGAUUUGUGCCUGAUGCCUGCUGUCCGUCAGCAGCCUCCCUUACAAUCUUUUUUUCUCUCUCUCCUUUUUUUUCCCCUUGCCUUCUCCUUCUUCACUGAAGCCUAGGGGAGCCAGUAAAGAUUAAAUGUGCUUCUCAAAGGCAGCCACUUCAUGCUGCUAUGUCGAAAGGGCCAUUAUUAUUAUUAUAUUUUAAUAGUAAAAGAGAAAAGGAGAGAGGUUGAGCGAGCGAGAGAGAAGCUAGGUGUGAUGAUGACAGACUAGCUUUUCUGAGAGGAAAAGGAAAAGGGAAGGGAGAGAAAAAGGAGAGCCUCUGAGCUCAACGGAGGAUUGUGCCUGAGAAGAACCCACAGAGCUGGUCCUAUAGUACCCCUCCUCAGGAAUGUCUCCCCAGUGCAAGGACAAAGACUGAAGAGACUGCUAUAUUGAUGGACUCUCAAGCCAACUAUGAAGUUGAAACAAAGAAAGUGAUCACCUGAAGACACCUCCUCUGCUAAGAAACACCCCCAAAUUGUGCAGCUUCUGCCACUAGAACUCUCAGAACAAGAGACAAUCUUUUCAAGAAACAGAAAAACUCAAUAAUGACAUCUAGAUUUUCAUGAGCCAAGAACUUUCCUUUCCUCAUGUGUAUUCCUCUGUUUGUACUUAAAUUCAUGUGACAUUCAUUUUUUUCCUAGUAUGGAUAUGCUUAUUAAUGCACUUGUUUCAAAAUCCCAAAUUGCACAAAUGUGUUAAUAUUUUAAGAAACAAAAUGAAUCCUACAAGGAGAAUGAUGUUUAGCCACACAUAGGGUUGGAUCUUAAGAGUGACCUACAGAAUAAAAGUACUUUUAAAAUAAAGUAGUCAGAGGCUAUUCAAAGGGUAAAAUAAUCAUAGUACCACAUUGGUCCACUUGACACUAACCAAUCGAUCAUUUUUUUUAAAUCAAGAAAGCUAGAUUCUAUCAGAUAAAAUCACUGCUUCUAAAGAGUUUAAAUCUAGUUAGAAAAAGUUAUAGAAAUGUUUUCAAAGAUAAGUAACAGAUAGAGUCAGUAGAGGAUAAGAUCAAAAACAAAACCAAGCAAAAGAUGAGUUCAGGGGAGUUUGCCAUCAAGUUGGCAAAACUGACUUACUUAGGGAAGAAAGUUAUAAAAGAGGAAAAUAUGAGAUGAACCUUGAGUGAUGUCAAAGAUUUAGAUAAAUGGAAAGGAAGGAGAAAAUGGAGUUCUUUAGGUGGUUGUAAUUGGAGGAGGAAAUGAAUACACACAUCUUGUUGACUUAAACCCAGACAUUCAGCAGCUCUCUAUACAUAUCUGGAAAAGACUUUGCACAGUCACCUCCUGUCUCUCACCCCAGGUAUUACUUAGAAUUAUUAUCAUAUUUCCCUUCCUUUAAAGUAAGUAAGGGUGAUUGGUGACAAUAUGGAGAACUAUGAUUUUUCCAUUAACCUAAUAAUAAUUGGUAUUUAUUGAGUUCUGUUAAGCAUGUUACAUAUUAACUCACUUAAGCCUUUCAACAGCCUUGCAAAAUAGGUAUUAUUAUUCCCAUUGUACAGGCAAGAAAACUGAGGUUUAAGUAACUUGCCGAAGUGCCAUUUACAGGGCUCACCUUCAGUAUUGCAGUUGCAAAGCUCAUGAUCUAUAGUGCCAAGUUGCAAUAUUGUAGUCAAUGUCACAAUUAUUACCCCUUUUUAUAUUCCUUGAUAUUUUUCCAUGGCAAACAAUUAGCUAUUUUAUUUAAUAAUCACCUAAAACUUUUCAGUCUUCUGAUUAAAAUUACACUGGAGUGAUAGAAUGUAUUUUCAUGAUAGAAACUGGGAAAAAAAUGGGGAAUGAAGUUUAUCAGCAUUUCAGACUUUUUUUUUUUUUUUGCAAGACUUUGAUGAGAUUGUUCACUUUUGUCUACGUAAAAUCCCAAAUCCUUGAGAAUAAAAAAGGGGGAGGUUUAAGUCACUUGUUGCAAUGCCCUUUUUAAUAGAGGCAAUAAAUCUAAAGGCCAUAAAUUUAGAGUGACUUACAGAAGAUCGAACUUUGGAGUGUGGCAGAGUAAGGGCUGGAAACCAGGCCCUCCAGUUCACUAUCAGUAGCUCUUGCACUGGUCUGCCCUUCCUAAAUUAAGUAUGCACUUCAAUUUGAUGAGUGGAAACAGUCUAUCUGGGCAGUAACCAGGGAGCUUUGUGCCUAGUAGAUUGCUUCUGUUCUGCACUUCUUUGGUUUCCCACCUCAAUGUAAAAAAUAGCUAGCAAUGAAGUCCAGAAGUUGUCAAUGGUUCAUCCCCAGAAGAAUGCAUAAUGUCCAAAGUGGUAUGUGUAUGAUGUCUUCAAUGGUAUUAAGUUAUUUCAAAUUCUUAGUUCACCUACAUAAAUCAUUUCUAACAAGCAUCUUCUUAACCAACUUUAUGCAUAGUGUAUGUUUGUAAGUGCUUCUGCACGAAUGUUUAUACAUGACUGUUUCCAUAGUACUUAUGUUUUUAAAAAUAUUCAGUCAUUUCCUAUUAUAAUCCUCAUGUAUCCAUGUAACUGACUCAAAAAUACUUCAGCCAUAGAAAGCUAAAACUGAGCAAAUCUCAUUCUCUUUUCCAUCCCCUUUGCAUGUGGCUGGCAUUUAGUAAUGAUUAAUAAUAUGGCCAGCUGAAUAACAGAGAUUCGAGACACAAUUCUUUCUCAAAGGAGUCAGCUAAGCUGGGUCUACUUAUGGACAAACAUCUAAAUGUGUGGAAGUAUCUGAUAUUUGACAACGGUAAAUUUCCACUUAGCUAGCUAGCAUUGUCAGACUUCAAUCUCCUCAUGGCUCUGGCCGUCCUGUUUUCAGCAUGAUAAUUGUUGGCCACAUCUCACAUAGUUCUCAUUGAGUGAGUUCAUAAAUAAACAGGGUUUUUUUUUUUUAAGAGCAGCCAAGCACAAAGUGUGACUUUGUUGACAUUUUAUGUGACUUUGUCAUAUGUUCCUAACCCCCAAUAAAAGCAAUGCUGCAUCAACUGU